UACGGAGGGAGCUAGCGUUGUUCGGAAUUACUGGGCGUAAAGCGCACGUAGGCGGCUUUGUAAGUUAGAGGUGAAAGCCCGGGGCUCAACUCCGGAACUGCCUUUAAGACUGCAUCGCUUGAAUCCAGGAGAGGUGAGUGGAAUUCCGAGUGUAGAGGUGAAAUUCGUAGAUAUUCGGAAGAACACCAGUGGCGAAGGCGGCUCACUGGACUGGUAUUGACGCUGAGGAGCGAAAGCUAGGGGAGCAAACGGG
rnacentral:rRNA from 1 species